GAUGAACGCUAGCGAUAGGCCUAACACAUGCAAGUCGAGGGGCAUCACAUGAAGUAGCAAUACGGAUGGUGGCGACCGGCGCACGGGUGAGUAACACGUAUGCAACCUGCCUUCAACAAGGGGAUAACCCGUCGAAAGACGGACUAAUACCCUAUAACACAGGGGUCCCGCAUGGGAAUAUUUGUUAAAGGACAACCGGUUGAAGAUGGGCAUGCGUUCCAUUAGCUAGUUGGCGGGGUAAGGGCCCACCAAGGCAACGAUGGAUAGGGGAACUGAGAGGUUUAUCCCCCACACUGGUACUGAGACACGGACCAGACUCCUACGGGAGGCAGCAGUGAGGAAUAUUGGUCAAUGGACGCAAGUCUGAACCAGCCACGUCGCGUGAAGGGAGACGGCCCUACGGGUUGUAAACUUCUUUUGUAAGGGAAUAAAGU
rnacentral:rRNA from 1 species